GCAGAAGGCGCGGGGGGCGCCCACCGCCCCGACGUGUCCCGGUGGGACCGGCUGUCCCUGUCACACCCGGGGCAGGUGACCGGGCACCUUCUGGCAGCGGGUAAUUUCCUGGUGCAAUUUGGACGACGAGAAAUGGGUACAAAUUGAAAGAGGGGACAUUUAGGUUAGGUGUUCCUAAGGGUGAGGGUGGUGAGACACUGGCACAGGUUGCCCAGGGAGGUUGUGGAUGCCCCAGCCCUGGAAGUGCUCAAAGACAGGUUGGAUAAGGCCUUGAGCAGCCUGAUCAAGUGGGAGGUGCCCCAGCCCAUGGCAUAGGGGUAGGGACUAGAUGAUUUUAGGGUCCCUUCCAACUCAUGAUUCUGUGUUUGCAUUUUUUAAAAGAAAGGGAAAUGCUCAAUGAGGUCACAUCCUGGUGUUGCCCAGGUUGGUUACUGGAGGAUUUCAGACCCGUUGCUGGUCUUGUCCCAGUCACUGCGUGCACGGGCAUGGAAAGAGUGGGGAAAUGGCAGUUGUGCUGUAGAUCUUUCAGGAAUGUUGAGAGUUGGGGCACAUUUGUCAGGACAAGCUAUUGGAAGACACUGGGAAUUUUGGGGUCCUGGACUCUGCUCUGAGGUCUCCCUGCUGUCCUUCCUGUGUGAUGGAAGGCAAACUCAAAACCUGAGCCAAGUCUCUGGUCAAGUCAUGAGACGAGUGAAGUCUUCAUCUUUAAAAAUAGCAUCUUGAAAUAAUACAUUGUACGUUACUUGAUUUAGAGCCUGUAAUUUUUAUCUUUGGUAUGCUCAAGCUUUUCUUCAAAACCCAAAGGGAAAUAACAACACUUUUUUUUCUCAAUGAAAGCUGAGAUUAAAAUCUAAUCAUCUUCCCCUUUAGAAGCUGAGGUUUUAGGAGCACCAACUUAGGUUAAACUAGAAAGUUUGGACAAUAGCACUUUCUUUCGAGUGGAACUUUGAAGAACUCUAACUGAGAGUUGAGACCACAGGCCCAAGACCAGUGGAGAAGUCUGUGAAGGGACAAAAUCCAUGAAAGAAUUGAAAACAGAGGAGAAGAUGUGACCACGUGGAGGCCUGGCCAGUUGAAGUAGAUACCUUGGCCCUGUUUAGAGGCCUUAAAAGCAUUCCUGAGUUCUUCCUUGGUCCUCCCGGAUGUCAUCACUGAAUCUGUAAUUCAAAAGUUUGGGUAAAGAUGACAGGAACACUACAGAGAGCAGCACAGACCCUGUGAAGGCACCUGAAAGUGAACUCUAAAGAUCAAGACUAGGUUUCAGGAAGAGGAGGAUGGGUCAGAAAGUCCAGAUUCUGAAUAAUAAGAAGGAACUCUCAUUAAGGGCUUGGGUUAUUUGAUAAUAACCACGUGAGGUUGCUUCAGCAGAGCUGAAAUAUUACAAAAUAUUAGAGAAACUCCUGGAGAGAUGGUUUAGCAGUCAAAGCUGCAUGAUGAAGAUUUAAAAUUCUUCUUUGAAAAAUCAGACCACAGAGAGAGACAAUGAAGCAGAAUAGAUAGUCAUGCAACUAAGAAGACAACCUGGGUCUGAGACAUGACUGCUCAUUCUGUGGCUUUUGGUUACAGGUGUGUGCUACGGAGUAAGAACAGCAGUCCCUUCUGGAAGUGGCUUGGGAAUACCUCCUUGUAUGGAGGAAGCAGGAGCAUUUGUGAGAUUUUGAAGACAGAAGAGUGAAAGAUGAGGUGCUAAGUCUGAGACUGUGGCUGUUAAAAUGAGCUGCUGAACACCAGAGAGCAAGGAUUACUGCAUUGCCUAACAGACUGCUGCAGAACCUCUGAGCUUUUUAUUUCCAGUAAUAAAAAAAUAAAUCCAUGUGCGUCUCAACA